UGAGGAAUAUUGCGCAAUGGGCGAAAGCCUGACGCAGCGACGCCGCGUGGACGAUGAAGGUCUUCGGAUCGUAAAGUCCUUUUCUGCGUGACGAGGAAGGACGGUAGCGCAGGAAUAAGUGUCGGCUAACUACGUGCCAGCAGCCGCGGUAACACGUAGGACGCAAGCGUUAUCCGGAAUUACUGGGCGUAAAGGGCGUGUAGGCGGCACGGUAAGUCAACCGUGAAAGCUCCCGGCUAAACUGGGAGAGGUCGGAUGAGACUGCCGAGCUAGAGGGUCGUAGAGGGGUGUGGAAUUCCGGGUGUAGUGGUGAAAUGCGUAGAGAUCCGGAGGAACACCAGAGGCGAAGGCGGCACCCUGGACGACACCAGACGCUGAGACGCGACAGCACGGGGAGCGAACGGGAUUAGAAACCCCGGUAGUCCGUGCCGUAAACGAUGUGCACUAGAUGUUCGGUCCUCUACGGGGGAGUGAGCGUCGCAGCCAACGCGGUAAGUGCACCGCCUGGGGAGUACGGUCGCAAGGCUAAAACUCAAAGGAAUUGACGGGGCCCCGCACAAGCAGCGGAGCGUGUGGUUUAAUUCGAGGCUACGCGAAGAACCUUACCUAGGUUUGACAUCCCCUGACCGCGUAUGAAAGUACGAAUCCGAAAGGCAGGGAGACAGGUGCUGCAUGGCUGUCGUCAGCUCGUGUCGUGAGAUGUUCGGUUAAGUCCGAAAACGAGCGCAACCCCCGGGUCUAGUUACAAGUGUCUAGACCGACUGCCUGCGACAAGUGGGAGGAAGGUGGGGAUGACGUCAAGUCAGCAUGGCCUUUACAUCUAGGGCUACACACACGCUACAAUGGCGCGCACAAUGGGAAGCAAGACCGCGAGGUGGAGCAAAUCCUGAAAGCGCGUCGUAGUUCGGAUUGCAGGCUGCAACUCGCCUGCAUGAAGCUGGAGUUGCUAGUAAACGCAGGUCAGCACACUGCGUUGAAUACGUUCUCGGGGCUUGUACACACCGCCCGUCACGUCAUGGGAGCUGGUCACGCCUGAAGUCGGGAAGGUAACCGAAAGGAGCCUACUGCCGAAGGCAGGGCUGGUGACUGGGACGAAGUCGUAACAAGGUAGCUGUACCGGAAGG
rnacentral:rRNA from 1 species